UACGGAGGAUGCAAGCGUUAUCCGGAUUCAUUGGGUUUAAAGGGUGCGUAGGCGGACUAUUAAGUCAGUGGUGAAAGCCUGCAGCUUAACUGCAGAACUGCCAUUGAUACUGAUAGUCUUGUGUUUGGUUAAGGUAGGCGGAAUGUGUAAUGUAGCGGUGAAAUGCUUAGAUAUUACACAGAACACCAAUUGCGUAGGCAGCUUACUGAGCCGACACUGACGCUGAGGCACGAAAGCGUGGGGAUCGAACA
rnacentral:rRNA from 1 species